AGAGUGAACGCUGGCGGCAGGCCUAACACAUGCAAGUCGAACGGCAGCACAGGGGAGCUUGCUCCCUGGGUGGCGAGUGGCGGACGGGUGAGGACAACGUCGGAAUCUGCCUUUUUGUGGGGGAUAACGUAGGGAAACUUACGCUAAUACCGCAUACGACCCCGGGCCGGGAGGUUCGGGGUGAAAGCGGAGGACCUUCGGGCUUCGCGCAGAAAGAUGAGCCGACGUCGGAUUAGCUAGUUGGUGGGGUAAAGGCCACCAAGGCGACGAUCCGUAGCUGGUCUGGAGAGGAUGAUCAGCCACACUGGAACUAGAGACACGGUCCAGACUCCUACGGGAGGCAGCAGGUGGGAAUAUUGGACAAGUGGGCG
rnacentral:rRNA from 1 species